ensembl:lncRNA
GUCAGUGUCACCGGGCUGCCAACAGGCAUUGACACAUCAAUGAUGCAGGCCCUUGAAGUGCAGCAAAGCAUGGAGCCAUCACAAGAACCGGGCCCAUCAAGUUUGCCGAUGAGAUUGCCAUCUGCAGCUGCUACUCAGGAUAGCCCGGCGGAUCAAACACCAUUCCCAUCCGCAGCACCUGCUCCGUCAGCAUCCCUGCAGGAGAGCAGAUUGCAACUCACAAUUGAUGUGUUUGAACAACAACAAAAAAAGUCCUUUCCCUUCAGGAGGAGUACUACCGCCUUAAAAUUGAACACCUAAAAAAUAAACCAUUUACAGAUUGUGUUCUGUGUCUUGCAUUUAACAAUUGCAGGUGAUGUGCAGUAAAACUGUGGUAGUUCUUAAUACCAUCACAAGUUCUCAAAAGACAUGGGGCUACAGCUUGCCUGAAAUGUAAAUUUGUGAAGUUUGCCCUGUAAGGCAGUCCACUCUGGGCUAGGUUCCCCUGUGGAAUGUAAAUAUCUUCUUCACCACCAUCCUCAUCGUUGUCUUCAUCGCCAUCCUCCAGAGGUUCUGCAAUCUGUCUAACCUUGCAAAUAUUGUGUAAUAUUGCACAGGCUAUGAUGACUUUGCUGACUUUUUCAGACCUCAGCCGCACCUCUCCGUGGAGAACAUGAAAGCACCUCUUAAGCUGGCCUAUGCCACGCUCCACCACCGCUCUUGUUGUCUUGUGGGCCCUACAAUAGAAUACAGAGACCUUUAAUUUUUUGAUGGAAAUAUUGCACUACUUGGAUGCUCUAACAUAUUGCUUGCAUUUCAUUUCCAUGAUUUUUGUAUUGUUUGGCUUACCUGUUAUAGUUUAGUUGGGGCCCUUGGCGUGGCUGGAGGUAAGGUGUAGGAGCCAUGGUUUGCAUGGGUAUCCACUGUCCCCUAACAAGUGGCAAUUAGCUGGCACAUAGCGUCUCUCAGAAAGAUGUCUGAUGCCACUCUCGGAGAGCAUUCUCGCAUCAUGUGUGGAGCCUGGCCAUUUAGCCACAAUGUCCAAACUCUUACAGGCCCCAUUGAACACUAUUUGCACAUUGAUGCUGUGGAAAUUCCUCCUGUUAACCAAGACAGCCUCGUCCCCUGAUGGCGCAAUUAUUCUCACAUGUGUUCCAUCAAUUACACCCACAACACCAGGGACUCCUGCAAUGUCCAUAAAUGCCCUUUUAUGUGUGUGUAAAGUGCGGGCAUCCAGCGGGAAUGAAACAAAUUGUGUCACAAUAUUAGGUUGUGACAAAGCUGUCAGAUUGUUUGGGUGAUGACUCUGCUGACGGAGGAUUGGGACAGACCCAAGUCAUCACUGCUGUAUUGUUGCAUUUUCCCGGUUGCCAAAUACCUCAGGGUUGUGAUUACUUUCGUCUCCGGUGUAAUAGCGUUGUGGCGUCGAGUUGGUGAAGUAAUUGCAUCUCUAAGGAGAUCCACCACAAACAUGAUUCCUGCACGAUCCAAUCUGUAGCGUCUCAAUAAUUCCCUGUCAUCCAGUGUUUGCAGGACAUUUCUCUUGCCUCUUCUGUUGGCCAUUUUGUGCAGCUGCUUAGGGGAACUCCUAAGCCACUAAAAGUCCUCUUCCCUGCUCUUAGCAGAUCUCGCCUUAGGAGCCCUUUUAAGCGCUAGGGAUCUUGAGGAAUAGCUUUUAUAUUAACUGGGAUUGUCGUGUCACUUUUAGGGGAAAUUCUAAGAAAACGUAAUGACUCUGAGAAUUUUCUUAGAAUUUGGCCGCUAGGAGCCACUUUUUGCACAAAGAUUCUUUAGGGGUACGGGCCCUGGACUUUUCCAGAGGACCAGGGUCAGUUUUUUGGUCGUUUACAUUCAAAAAAUUUAAUGCAAAC